rnacentral:rRNA from 1 species
CCUACGGGGCGCUGCAGUGGGGAAUAUUGGACAAUGGGGGCAACCCUGAUCCAGCCAUGCCGCGUGUGUGAAGAAGGCCCUCGGGUUGUAAAGCACUUUCAGUGAGGAAGAACGCCUGGUGGUUAAUACCCAUCAGGAAAGACAUCACUCACAGAAGAAGCACCGGCUAACUCCGUGCCAGCAGCCGCGGUAAUACGGAGGGUGCGAGCGUUAAUCGGAAUUACUGGGCGUAAAGCGCGCGUAGGUGGCUUGAUAAGCCGGUUGUGAAAGCCCCGGGCUCAACCUGGGAACGGCAUCCGGAACUGUCAAGCUAGAGUGCAGGAGAGGAAGGUAGAAUUCCCGGUGUAGCGGUGAAAUGCGUAGAGAUCGGGAGGAAUACCAGUGGCGAAGGCGGCCUUCUGGACUGACACUGACACUGAGGUGCGAAAGCGUGGGUAGCAAACAGGAUUAGAUACCCCAGUAGUC